rnacentral:rRNA from 1 species
AGACCCGAAACCCGGUGAUCUAGCCAUGGGCAGGUUGAAGGUUGGGUAACACUAACUGGAGGACCGAACCGACUAAUGUUGAAAAAUUAGCGGAUGACCUGUGGCUGGGGGUGAAAGGCCAAUCAAACCGGGAGAUAGCUGGUUCUCCCCGAAAGCUAUUUAGGUAGCGCCUCGUGAAUUCAUCUCCGGGGGUAGAGCACUGUUUCGGCUAGGGGGCCAUCCCGGCUUACCAACCCGAUGCAAACUGCGAAUACCGGAGAAUGUUAUCACGGGAGACACACGGCGGGUGCUAACGUCCGUCGUGAAGAGGGAAACAACCCAGACCGCCAGCUAAGGUCCCAAAGUCAUGGUUAAGUGGGAAACGAUGUGGGAAGGCCCAGACAGCCAGGAUGUUGGCUUAGAAGCAGCCAUCAUUUAAAGAAAGCGUAAUAGCUCACUGGUCGAGUCGGCCUGCGCGGAAGAUGUAACGGGGCUAAACCAUGCACCGAAGCUGCGGCAGCGAACGUAUCACCCAAGACAACUUUACGGAGUUGACGAUUGACGGAGCGAAGCGACGUCAAAGCGUUCAUUAAAGUCGAGUUGGCUUAGGGAUACGUUCGUUGGGUAGGGGAGCGUUCUGUAAGCCUGUGAAGGUGUGUCGUGAGGCAUGCUGGAGGUAUCAGAAGUGCGAAUGCUGACAUAAGUAACGAUAAAGCGGGUGAAAAGCCCGCUCGCCGGAAGACCAAGGGUUCCUGUCCAACGUUAAUCGGGGCAGGGUGAGUCGACCCCUAAGGCGAGGCCGAAAGGCGUAGUCGAUGGGAAACGGGUUAAUAUUCCCGUACUUGGUGUUACUGCGAAGGGGGGACGGAGAAGGCUAUGUUGGCCGGGCGACGGUUGUCCCGGUUUAAGCGUGUAGGUGUGUGUUCCAGGUAAAUCCGGUUCACUUUAACACUGAGGCGUGACGACGAGGCACUACGGUGCUGAAGCAACAAAUGCCCUGCUUCCAGGAAAAGCCUCUAAGCAUCAGGUAACAUCAAAUCGUACCCCAAACCGACACAGGUGGUCAGGUAGAGAAUACCAAGGCGCUUGAGAGAACUCGGGUGAAGGAACUAGGCAAAAUGGUGCCGUAACUUCGGGAGAAGGCACGCUGACACGUAGGUGAAGUGAUUUACUCAUGGAGCUGAAGUCAGUCGAAGAUACCAGCUGGCUGCAACUGUUUAUUAAAAACACAGCACUGUGCAAACACGAAAGUGGACGUAUACGGUGUGACGCCUGCCCGGUGCCGGAAGGUUAAUUGAUGGGGUCAGCGUAAGCGAAGCUCCUGAUCGAAGCCCCGGUAAACGGCGGCCGUAACUAUAACGGUCCUAAGGUAGCGAAAUUCCUUGUCGGGUAAGUUCCGACCUGCACGAAUGGCGUAAUGAUGGCCAGGCUGUCUCCACCCGAGACUCAGUGAAAUUGAACUCGCUGUGAAGAUGCAGUGUACCCGCGGCAAGACGGAAAGACCCCGUGAACCUUUACUAUAGCUUGACACUGAACAUUGAGCCUUGAUGUGUAGGAUAGGUGGGAGGCUUUGAAGUGUGGACGCCAGUCUGCAUGGAGCCGACCUUGAAAUACCACCCUUUAAUGUUUGAUGUUCUAACGUGGACCCGUAA